CUAGCCCUAAACCCAAAUAGUUACAUAACAAAACUAUUCGCCAGAGUACUACUCGCAACUGCCUAAAACUCAAAGGACUUGGCGGUGCUUCACAUCCACCUAGAGGAGCCUGUUCUAUAAUCGAUAAACCCCGAUAGACCUUACCAACCCUUGCCAAUUCAGCCUAUAUACCGCCAUCUUCAGCAAACCCUAAAAAGGAACAAUAGUAAGCACAAUCAUAGCACAUAAAAACGUUAGGUCAAGGUGUAGCUUAUGGGUUGGAAAGAAAUGGGCUACAUUUUCUACAUAAGAAUAUCCACCACACGAAAGUUUUUAUGAAACUAA
rnacentral:rRNA from 1 species